UGGGGAAUUUUCCGCAAUGGGCGCAAGCCUGACGGAGCAACGCCGCGUGCGGGAGGACGGCCUGUGGGUUGUAAACCGCUUUUAUCAGGGAAGAAGUUCUGACGGUACUUAAAGAAUCAGCAUCGGCUAACUCCGUGCCAGCAGCCGCGGUAAUACGGAGGAUGCAAGCGUUAUCCGGAAUCAUUGGGCGUAAAGCGUCCGCAGGUGGCUAAUCAAGUCUGCUGUUAAAGACGGAAGCUUAACUUCUGAAAAGCAGUGGAAACUGGUAAGCUAGAGUACGGUAGGGGUUGAGGGAAUUCCCAGUGUAGCGGUGAAAUGCGUAGAUAUUGGGAAGAACACCAGUGGCGAAGGCGCUCAACUGGGCCGUAACUGACACUCAGGGACGAAAGCUAGGGUAGCGAAAGGGAUUAGAUACCCCCGUAGUCC
rnacentral:rRNA from 1 species